GUCAGGAAAAAGAGGAAUGAUUGCAUUAUGGGGGGGGGGGUCACAUAAUACCAUGCAGUGAUGGUUGCAUAUGAACUUUAAAGUUAGGAAAAAAAACAACAACAAGGACAUGAAAGCACUCGCUUAAUAAAACAUUUGGAAUGAAGUGCUGAUUUUUGACACGCCCCCCAAUUAGCUUUCUGAAGCAAGGCCAUCUUGGCUGUGACGUCACUGCCAGACUAUGUUCCGGUCCAGGAACCACAUUUAUUCCGUGUUGGUGUCGUUUAUACAGGGAAAAAAGGUGGGAAAAUGCCGGCAUAAGUCAGCAGUGUGAAAGGGGCGGGAGUAUGACAUUGGUGUGUGUGUGUGUGUGUGUGUGUGUGUGUGUGUGUGUGUGUGUGUGUGUGUGUGUGUGUGUGUGUGUGUGUGUGUGUGUGUGCGCAGAACAUUCCUGAAACAACAAAAUGCUGGAGGGAGGAGUGUGGGCAGGACUCUGGUUGUGUUUGGUCUGCACUUCUUGAAGUCCUAGCUCUCACAAGGUCACGCCGCUUGAAAGCCAUCAAGUGUCAUUUGUGACCCAAACGUUAGUCCGGGUGGUCCUUAAGACCCAGGCUCUUGUCUCUAGAUGUACAGUGAAUAAUUCAGCAGGACAACAUUUAGGCCUUGAAAAAAUGUGGGGAUGUGCUCAGGCAUAGCUGGUCUCUCCAGAGUUCUGGUUCUGCCUCUUAUUGAGGCCCAGAGGUGUUAGAAUGUAGCAGAACCUUCAUUCCAGAACCUUCUGACGGCCAUGAUGUGUUAAAUGGUGGCUGUCUUGGUGUGGAGAAAGUCCAGACUGGUUAUUAGUUUUCAUGAUUGUUCUUUGCUGUAUUUAGUCUUCAGCAACACAUCCUUUGACCCACUUUCUGGACUUCCUGUGGGAUGGUGCUUGUCCUCAGAAGGCCUGCACUUUUUGCACACAAGUGUUGGGACACGGCUCUUCAUCAAUCAGUGAUUGAAUGAAACUUACAACUCAGCGUCAUUAUUAGUUGUUGGUAAAUCUUCAUUCUUCAUCUUAGCAAGACAUUUUGGACAAUUCAAGAAGGUUUUCUGUUCCCCCGAGUGCACAAAGCCAGCUCCAUAAAGACAUACUUGCUUUGUCCGCUGCCAAGUCUUCUCCAUAAAAAUCCAUACAUCCUUCUUCCUGUGUUGUGGACCCUGCAGCAAGGUCACAGGUCACGCGCUGCUCCACAACAGCUGCUAGUGAUUCAGCUGAUUCCUCGCCUGAGGAAGGAUUGGCGGUCUUCUACAAGACGUACACGUUUCAUAUUUUCUGAACAUUUCCACAGCUUGGAGCUUUUUAUUUAUUCAAAGUUAUGCUAUGCUAGAUGUUAGCAAAACAGUAUGAGGACACAGUCGGCACUGUUGCUUGAGAAAUAAAAAAAAAAAGUCAAAUAUGAAAUGAUGGACGGAUAAACACUGAUGUUAUUGCUGUGUCAUACUGGUGGUGUUUCAAAGGGCAGCCAGAAGCCAAUCAGACGGAGAAGUCUGGCUUCAUUGCUGCUCUGAAUGUGGAAGUGGCAGCGUACGUGAAGUCCAACCUACCUUGGUGGUCCCAGCGUCAGUGAGUGAUGUGUGGAUGUUUUAUCCGUGGGAGUUAAGCAGGUGCUUGCUACUUGCUGAUGUCCAAGCAGAAGCUGUGCUAAUUCUACUUUUCACCAACUUUACCUAAAGAUUGGUCAGAUCAACCCACGUAGAGGUUGGGACUUCUAUUGCAUUUGGAUCAGUACCGGCGAUCACGGGUUCCGUUUCAUAACACACCUCAGGUUAACAUGGUUGAUAUGUUUAGCGAAUAAGGGUGCGCAUUUCAGUGUCGUGCAUUCAUUCAGUCAUCAACAAAGGUGAAGAAUCUGCCAAGCAGGUGAAUAGGAGAGAGCUCCACAUCGUACAAUGCACAUGUGAAAGCUGUAAAACCCCUCCACAAUACAACCCAGCCCCUGACCAACAGAGCCAAGAAAGCAGAGCUUGGACGCCUCCCUGCAUGGGUGUCCAAAGUGUGCCAUGGGGCCAUCUGUGGAACGUGGCUCAUUGCAGAAAUGAAAUAAAUAAAAAUCCAGCAAAAGUGGAAAAAUAGGCAUUAUGUAAGGAGAAAAAGCUAAAAUGUUGAUCCUAAUAAACACAAAGAUUUGUCUCUAAUGUAUGUACUUGUAUAUGUACUUGUUGUUGUCAUGAUGAGCCGGAUUCUUCUUCUUCUUCUUCUACAGAAUGUUAUCACAACAGUGGUUUAUUUGGUCUGAGGAACUUCCAAUGUUCUUCUUUGUGGGAGGUCCUGGAAGGACAGGUGACAGGGGACUUUGUAAGAUCAGAAAGGCUGAAAAUAAUCCAUCCAGUCAAAAAAUGUGGCAAGCUCACUCAUUGGCCGGUACUUCAUGCACGUAAUGAAGACAAGAAAAGGAAAUGAAUGAAUGAAUGAUAGCCAGCCAAGUAGAGGGUAGAACCAGGGCAGUGGCUGAUGGGGAGAGGGAGGAGCAACAGGUCGUGAAGUAAAAUGAAAAAUAUGAUGGAAAUGAGACGCACAGGAUGUGAUGUCAUCCACAUGCUGCUCACAGUCCCCUGGGGGCACGUUUACAUGCUUUACAUGGCAUGUGCUGUGAUGUUCUAGUCUUCCGUCAGCAGAUGUUUGUGCUUUGAGGACAUUUCUAUUUUGGGAAAAGCUCCAAAAAAAAAGUCAUGUUUAAUUUUUUGAUAAUUUUUUUGCAAGCAGGUUCAGGAGGGUGGUCCCCACAUGGGGCCAUUUUUCUUGCACUUUGUCCUCAUCAAUAGGAAAGUGACCAAGGAGGGGGGCAGCAACAAAGGCCCCAGAUGGGAGAAUGGAGGAGGGCACCGAGUGGUGGUGUUUAUCCGAGGCCAAUGAAAGAAAUCUUUACGCGACGUGGAGGAGACGGCACCGCAUGCUCCAACUUGGUCACCUUUUUAUCCUGUGUAACCCCGCUCUUGCUUUUUGCCUUGAUUUGUCUCCAUUUCUGCUGAAUGAGUGGAUGAGUGUGCCUUGCAUUGCCUCCCUCCUCCCUUGUCAUCCUGGGGGAACUCAGCCCCCUGGUGGAGGCCGCUAGAUGCCUGCAUUACAUCUGUCUGACGUUGACUCCACGUUUCCACCACUUUCACACCAGCAUGUGUCAUUGUGGUGCAUAUGCAGGAGUAUUUACUUCGUAUUUAGAGAUGGGGGAUGUGCAGGAGGGGUGUGUGUCUGUUAGGGUGUCACAAGAUCUCACCAGGUGAAAAAAAACCUCUUUAUCUUGCCCCAGUUGGGUUCCUUUUUUGUGACUGAACAGUCAUUUAUCACUUUGAUGCAGUGUAUGAACACAUUGGGUCUAAAAUCACACCAAAAGCAGUAAAAAUGUCUAACGUGUAAUGAACCCUUGUUAUAAGGUAGGAUGCAAACACAACAUGUCCCUCGUUUAUCACGGUCAAUUGGUUCCAGACCCCACCUUGAUGAGUGAAUUUCCACAAAGUCACAUGGUAGUUAGCCCACAUAAAACCUUCUAAAUACACUUUUUUAACAUGAUUAGAGCCCUCUAGACAUGAAAUAACACCCCUAUCGUCACCUUUACACCCCUAUUACCCAAUAUAGUAGACAUAAUAAGAGAAAAUAAGACAUAGAAAACCUAAUUACCAACUUCUAGAUACGCUUUUUAACAUGAUUAGAGCCCUCUAGACAUGAAAUAACACCCCUAUAGUCACCUUUACACCCCUAUUACCCAAUAUAGUAGACAUAAUAAGAGAAAAUAAGACAUAGAAAACCUAAUUACCAACUUCUAAAUACGCUUUUUAACAUGAUUAGAGCCCUCUAGACACGAAAUAACACCCCUAUAGUCACCUUUACACCCCUAUUGCCCAAUAUAGUAGACAUAAGAGAAAACAAUACAUAGAAGACAUAGAACACCUGUUUACCACCUUCUGAAUACACUUUUUAACAUGAUUAGAGCCCUCUAGACAUGAAAUAACACCCCUAUCGUCACCUUUACACCCCUAUUACCCAAUAUAGUAGACAUAAUAAGAGAAAAUAAGACAGACAACCUAAUUACCAACUUCUAAAUACGCUUUUUAACAUGAUUAGAGCCCUCUAGACAUGAAAUAACACCCCUAUAGUCACCUUUACACUCCUAGUACCCAAUAUAGUAGACAUAAGAGAAAACAAUACAUAGAAGACAUAGAACACCUGUUUACCACCUUCUGAAUACACUUUUUAGCAUGGUUAGAGCCCUCUAGACAUCAUAAGAGAAAAUAAGACAAACAAGAUGUGACAAGAUUAAAACGUGAGCUAGAGCUGGGACAGAUAGAUACGUUAUUCGUCUGCAAGAGAAUUAAUGAAUUCAUCUCACAGUAAAUGAAAAUGACUGACUGCUUUCAGAUGGGGGAGGGGCCUGUUGAGAAGAGCGAUAUGUGUUUUCAUGUCAGACGCUCCAAAAGUGUCCACACCAGAUUUGUCAUGAGUUGUUUUUUUAAGAAGAGCAUCUACAGCGGUCUGAUGACUUGCUACCCAGUUGCUAAGUUGGCAACACCCAUCCCUCCCUCCUACUACAUGUUCUUCCUCUCUGGCAGAGCAGAUGCUUUCUAUGAAGUGUUUAUCAGCAUGAAGAUGUCCUACCUCUUUAAGAAGUAGUCAUUAAUAAGUGCAAAGCAGCUUUGGGGGUGAUUGGGAGUGUCCAAACAGGUGUGGACACAUGCCGUGCCCCACCCUGUAGGGAAAAGUAUUCAUGGGACGUCCUGUAGGAGAGCCAACAAGAGAUGGCUUCCAGCUGUUGGCGUCCUGGUAGCGCACCUGUCCGUCUCUGCGUGCCGUUCCCCAAAUGACUGUGCUUCCAGGCAUACUGAACGUACCUCAAGUGGACCCCCGUCCCGUCCAGCACUGGUAUGUACGUACAUGUCAUGUGUCACGGGGGUUGACGGCGGGGCCUGUCGCAGGGUGUGGACGCAUGUCUGUCAUUGUGUCCUGUCAUGUGAUUGAUUGGGAAGGAGACACGCAUCAGCUGAAGAGAAGCCAAGGUGUGCACGCGGCUGCUGCUCAUUCAGGCUGCUUUCUUCUGUUCUCCCGAACGGGACAUCCCAAAACCUCUUGCCACGUUUGACAGGCGGCUUCCACAGGCGUCCCCUCCUGCAUGAAGCACCGCUCCCGCCCCGUCCAUGUCAAAAUAGCAGCAAGCGGGUGCAGGUUCAAUUGCCAUUCUCAACACACACAACACAUUUAGGCUCUCAAAGCUCUCAGAGCGCUCUUUGUCACAUUUGUCUGAUGGUGUAAAGAGAAUAAAAAUGUCUUACGUGAAUCAGGUGAUUGGAAUGACACCUACAUGGCCACAUGUUCCUUCCUGUUGAAGAUGUAGGAGCACUGCAGCCCGUUAGAAGAGUGAGCUACUUCUCAAUGACGGGACUAAAUGGGCCAAUGAUGGAUUGCAGCAAGAAGCAUUUUUAGUCAAAUAAGUGGAAAAGGCACAAAAACGCAAUUUGGGAAAAAAUCAAAGGGACUUCAUAGGGCCCUACGAGAGCUUAAAAGAAAAGUCUUAUUGUAAAUCACACCACAAAUGGAUCUAUAACCAUGUCACAUGAUUAGUCCUACCCGAAAAGUAUUUGGAACACCCAGUUUUUUUCCAAUUUGAUCUCUUUGGGUUUUUUCCAAAAGCCCAACAGUAUUGUUGGUCAUGCUUCGGAACACUAAAGUACACUCAGCAACACUUGGCUUGCUUGGAAGAGCUGCUGUAUUUCCAUAACCUCAUUCAAUUCACAGAUUCAUGUUUGUAACAAAGAUGAUGAUUAUUAUUAUCAAAACAAAUAAACAAACAAAACGAUCGCUACCGGAUCAGAUUGGCAAGACUAUGAAAAAAUGGGAUCAGAUCGGAAGCCAAGAAGUGUGGAUGGCGACAUCUCUAGUAGAAAACACGACAAGCAAAAGGAAUAUGUUGACCUGCAAAUGACCUUUCUUCUCUUGCUCCUUUUUCACAUUUUCAAGAAUGUCAUAAACAAGACUGAGCCACCUGUGAGUGCUUUUAGAGGAUGCAGCAGCUAUUUUAGUCUCCAAAAAUCCCGCAGAAAAUAACGCAGAAAGAAACGAGAUUAGCUUUGUCGCUAGUUGCUGUUUUGAAGGAGGCGCCUUCGAGGGCUCUGAAUGCUCGCUAACAGGAAAAACGUGUGUGGUGGGCAGUGGGCCCGGCAUGAUCAUAAAUAAAUAAAGAUAAUGAAUCCACAGUACAUGGAAAUGAAGUGGAUCAUCACUAUAUUGGCAUGUCUGGCAGGGAGGGUUCAUGCUGGGCAUUGCUUUCGUUUGUUCUGUAGAAUGACGUGAACGGAGUGAGUCUUUGUCUCGGUGGGUGGCGGCGGGGCUUCUAGCAUACACACAGAGUGCAGCAGAGCGUGAUGAUCGUAUUUCAUUGUUAAAAUAUGUUCAAAUAGAAGACCUGGCCUCGUGUCUUGUCUUGCUAAGCAUGGAGCUAAAGCUGCUAGCUUGGCAACACGGAUCCCUGCUGUUCCUUGGAUGAUGCACGUAUGACGUGCAUGAAGAGUUAUGAUGCCAUCUACUGGAGGAGGUUGUGAUGACGACUCAAGGCACACACGGUCCCAUUAGGAUGCGUUUAGGAGUCAGCUGAACCCCACGCAAUUGAACGCUGUCACAUGAGCUUACUGUGACUUGGUAGCCAACAUUUCCAGUCCUGUACGUGACCCCAAGCUAAGGUUGUUGGUCACAUGACUGCACGUAGCGCAGGUAGCACGCAUGAAGGAGGCCUUCCGUUCAUCUGUGAUGAAUGUUCUUUCAUGUUCGUGCUGAGUUACCACCUCAGGGUCAGUCAGCAGGCCGUGACGACAUUGUACUUUAGAAUCCUGAGCUGCUGUGUUGUUGUCAUGGCGACCGGGCACGCCACCGGCCCGAGGAAAGGUUUGUGUGGUCUCGUUUUGUUUUUUGUUUUAGCUUUGAUGGGUGGUGGGUGCGUGUGAACGAGGAGAGAGAGGGACGCUGUCAGGGGCACGUUCAGCAUCAGCGAGCUGUUUGGUAGCUGUUGACUUGAACGCAGCGUGUUGCCUUCAUGCAUCUACGUCAUCAUCUGGUCUGCCGUGUGUUCCCAGCACAGUAAUACUACAGUAGUACUUGUACUCACUGCACACUUCCUACACUGUACGUGCUUCGUGUUUGUUCAGUGAAAACCAAACACACAUGAUUGGAACGUGUGUGUGUAUGAAUCAUACCGUGUGUACAACUUUGUGUCCAUGAGAUUGUCGCCUUUUUGCCAUGGUGAGAAAAAAACACUUUUCAUUUUGACGUAUACUUUGGAUUAUUAUUAUUGUAUUCUAAUGUUCAUACUCUUAUUUUCCAUAAGCAGUACUUUGGCAAGGUGGUAACCUCCACGAAUACCUCAUCAUGUUCAUAAUACUCUACUUAUUUACACAAUAACUUCAUAUUACAAUAUUUACACUUGUUGCUGAACAAGAAUAAGAAAUGUUCCAAGUGCAAUCAUUGUUCACAAUCAUUCAUAGGAAAGGUCAGCAAGAAUGACCUUUAUGAAGGCUGUCAUCACGUCGUGUACCCAUGAAGUGGCCAGCGUGUGCAUGGGACGGGCGGGCAGGCUGCUCGUCAGUUAUUGACACCAUGGAUCAUAUGUCCUAUCAUAUGUAUAAGGAGUGGAAGAGAGUGGUUGGGGGUGUCCCACACGGACAUGGUGUGAUUACGCUACGCUAGAGGACACAUCACCCUGCUGGUCAAAGUCCAGGUGCUCUAUCCGGCUUAGAGCUGCUAACACGCACGCACGCACGCACGCACGCACGCACGCACGCACGCACGCACGCACGCACGCACGCACACGCGUGGGGCUGAGACGUAAGAAAAGCCACGAUGGAUUAUUCCUCUUUUCUUUGACAACGUGGAUCUUCAGCGUCUGUCCUCUUCCUCGCUCACCUUGCCGCCUACGUACCUGCCACCGCCGCCGCCCCUCACCCCCCCACCACCACCCACACCACCCCCACGGUCACCUGGAGCGGCCUAAGCGUCUGGCCCCCGGCCGGCUGCUGACUGGGCUGUGAGGGGGAGGGAUGAGCUCGGCGGCGUACAGACAGUUCCUCCAGGACUUGGAGGAGAAACGAGGUUGGUUCAAAUCCCAGCUAAGGAGGGCAGGCGUGUUUGAAGCGUAUGUUGUGAAAUGAGGAAGUGUGUGCACGUUGUGUCAGCUUGAGGCUUGGCCGUGUGAAAAGACGUCAUACCUGCUAUUCAGGACUCUUCUUUGAUGUCGGCGCACUGUUAUUAGCCGCUGAUGCUAACUCUUCAUGUUUGUGUUUCUACACACACACACACACACACACACACACACUUACUUGUCUGAUUGAGGUAGCGUUGGAGAACAUUGCUAAGUUGUUUGUGUUUCUCAACAGGGAAUAGAAAUGGUCUGUUCCAGGGUCAACCUGUGGUCAUCGUAAAACUUAAGAGUGCAAGCAUCACAUGUCGGGGUUUCCCACAGGGCUGCAAUCUACUUGUGGUGUGGGGGUGGGCGUACUUGUGGAAUGUGCAUAACUGGCCAAUGGCACGCUAGCAACAAGCGAGUAAAGCAGGUAGAUAUGUUCUUCAUCUCCAAGGGAAUGGUAACAAAUGGGAACCUUGAGUGUGACGGCGAGUGGUCUCACGUGUCGUACUGUCAUUGGACAUGUGCUCCACUGAUCCUUGAGGGCAUGAUGUCUGGGUGGAAAGACAAGGUGACAGUAGUUUGGUGCUUUGUGUGGUGGUUGACGCGGCAUCCUGAGUAUUCUAGCAGCGCAUCUCCUCUCCUCAGUCACCUUUUUCUUCUUCUUCUUCGUGUGUGGAGUGCAAACACUUGAUAGCAGUAGCGCAGCUGUUGGCUGCACAUGCUAACAGCUGCGCUACUCACUCUUCUCAUCACGGUGGUCUUCACCAAGUGCUUUUUGGGAGGCAAGUGAGAGCUUGACCUGCUGUACAACACAACAACUCAUUCAUAAGCUCUUCUUGGCUUUUUUGUGUGGGGAACAACUGCUACAUUACCUUUUUUCUUUUGCUCCUUCUUCUUUCUUCUUCUUGUCCCUCUCCUCCUUCUACACCUUCUUCUCCUUCUGUCUUUUUUCUUCAUCUUCUUUUCCUUCUCCUCCUCUUUUUUUCUUCUUCUUCUUUUUCUUCUCCUUCUUUGUCACCAUGUGAGAGCAUGACUGUGGUGUGUUUGUGUCCACGAGUGGCGUCUGUGCUCAUGUUUGUCUUUUGGGUUCAUGCACGGAAGGAUUAUGGAAAGGUUAAAAAAGCACAGGACUACAGUACACCGCAUACACGAUAGAAGGCUUACAAUCAAGUUGUGUGGCUUUCAAAAGAUGUCUUGACAGUGAGUCAUCUCCAUAUUUACUUUGAGCUUUUUAUUGUUGAAAUUGCGUGGUUUCCUGUGGACAUCAGCGUUUCCCUUUGUACCCUUGCCAAAACUGUGGUCCAUGUAGCAUGUUAGCAUAAGGUACCUGUGUAGAUGUGCGUAACAUUCAUGUUAGCAUAGGUGUUUGCCAUGUAGCAUGUUAGCAUAAGCUACCUGUGUAGGUGUGCGUGACAUUCAUGUUAGCAUAGGUGUUUGCCGUGUGGUCCAUGUGGCAUGUUAGCAUAAGGUACCUGUGUCGGUGUGCGUAACAUUCAUGUUAGCAUCGGUGUUUGCCGUGUGGUCCAUGUGGCAUGUUAGCAUAAGGUACCUGUGUCGGUGUGCGUAACAUUCAUGUUAGCAUAGGUGUUUGCCAUGUUGCAUGUUAGCAUAAGGUACCUGUGUAGGUGUGCGUAACAUUCAUGUUAGCAUAGGUGUUUGCCGUGUGGUCCAUGUGGCAUGUUAGCAUAAGGUACCUGUGUAGGUGUGCAUAACAUUCAUGUUAGCAUAGGUGUUUGCCAUGUAGCAUGUUAGCAUAAGGUACCUGUGUAGGUGUGCAUAACAGUCAUGUUAGCAUAGGUGUUUGCCGUGUUGCAUGUUAGCAUAAGGUACCUGUGUAGGUGUGCAUAACAGUCAUGUUAGCAUUGGUGUUUGCCAUGUUGCAUGUUAGCAUAAGGUACCUGUGUAGGUGUGCAUAACAGUCAUGUUAGCAUAGGUGUUUGCCAUGUUGCAUGUUAGCAUAAGGUACCUGUGUAGGUGUGCAUAACAGUCAUGUUAGCAUAGGUGUUUGCUAUGUUGCAUGUUAGCAUAAGGUACAUGUGUAGGUGUGCGUAACAUUCAUGUUAGCAUAGGUGUUUGCUGUGUGGUCCAUGUGGCAUGUUAGCAUAAGGUACCUGUGUCGGUGUGCGUAACAUUCAUGUUAGCAUAGGUGUUUGCCAUGUUGCAUGUUAGCAUAAGGUACCUGUGUAAGUGUGUGCAACAUUCAUGUUAGCAUAGGUGUUUGCCGUGUAGUCCAUGUGGCAUGUUAGCAUAAGGUACCUGUGUAGGUGUGCAUAACAGUCAUGUUAGCAUAGGUGUUUGCCAUGUUGCAUGUUAGCAUAAGGUACAUGUGUAGGUGUGCGUAACAUUCAUAUUAGCAUAGGUGUUUGCUGUGUGGUCCAUGUGGCAUGUUAGCAUAAGGUACCUGUGUAUAUGUGUGUGUAACAUUCAUGUUAGCAUAGGUAUUUGCCAUGUAGCAUGUUAGCAUAAGCUACCUGUAUAGGUGUGCGUAACAUUCAUGUUAGCAUAGGUGUUUGCCAUGUAGCAUGUUAGCAUAAGCUACCUGUGUAGGUGUGCGUAACAUUCAUGUUAGCAUAGGUGUUUGCCGUGUGGUCCAUGUGGCAUGUUAGCAUAAGGUACCUGUGUCGGUGUGCGUAACAGUCAUCAGGUAACAUUGAUGAAGUUUUGCUGCAUGUUAGUGCCGAUGUGUGCCAAACAAAUGAAUGUAUGGAAACGUGUGUGUAAGGAUAUCAGCGCGGGUGAGUCGUGUUGUUUGAGGUCCGAGUGGACCGCAGUGUCAGCCUGACACAAGAAGUCGGUGGCGUUGAGCGGCUCAAGCAAGUCAUAUGAGGGCUUUUUGGACUUUGUGGUUAAGCUAACAUUAGCGCCAUUGUCGCCUCCGCGUCAUUAAGUUUGUUUUUUUUGGCAAAAGGCAGUCAUGGGUUGAAUGUUGCUGGAUUAAGUCGGAUUGUGGGGAUAAAAGUAGAAGGCCGUGAACAGCGUGCAUUGUGUUUGCUAGACGUCCGACGUGAUUACGCCAACGGUGUCUGAGUGUACCCGUGGUGGGCGUGCGUGGCUCUGCUGCUCAUCGUGAUGGUUCCAGUGAGGUUGCAGGAUGAAACGCGCUGACGGCCGUGCUGCAUUGUUUGUUGUCACCUGGACUUUCCAAGCUGGCUGACCAGGUGACAUAAACGUCUGCAGGUCACCCCGGAUUACACUUCAGAAACCAUCACUUUUCUUUUCUGCUUGCAUCUUCAACUCAGCUUCAUUCAAACACAAACCAAACGUCUCCCUAAAAUAACCGCUGACACGGUCAGGAGUCAUUCUGAUCGCGCUUGAGGCUGCUUUUCCAUCACAUGCCCUCAAGUAAAUCACUCAUUCACAGGAUGGUCUGUUUCCUGUAAACAUCUUUUACUUUGCAUAGCAACGCUGCACAAACACAAUCUAGACGCCUGUGAAAGGGUGAUGGGUUUGUGUUGUUCUGAACAUUCAUUUCCCAGGAUACGAAUGUGAGAAAGGGUUUGUGUUGUUCUGAAUAUUCACUUCCCACUGUAUAUCUGCUGACCUUGCCUACCAGGUGCUUGUUAAAAAAUAGUAACUCUGCGUGCGAAUGCCUGAGUUUCGGGGCCGGCCACCCCGUUCUCACGCUCGCACGAACAGACUGGCAUAAAGAGGGGAGAGCGAAAACACCUAGACGGAGUCUGCUGCGGGUUGUGAUCGAACGCCCAGCCGAUUGACGCGAACUCUUCCACGGGUGUUGGCUCUCCACCCUGUUGGCGUAGGUAAGAGGCUUUUUCGCUGCAAUCAUAUAUCUUGUGUGUUGAUGCUUAAAUAAAUACGCCCUUGUUUAGGCUAAAAUACCUUGAUGUGUCUGUGUCAUUCUGUGUGCCGACUGAACACGAUCCUCUAAAAAAUAUUCUAAAACAUUUUUGGCGUUGUCGGCAGGAUCACGUUCAGCUGCAUGCAGAAUGGCUUUGUGCUGUAUAAGAAAAGUGAAGAAUACAGAUGUCCUCACCAUGGAGGAAGUGUCGUCAGGGUGGGUAGCCCCUGACGAGGUGAAAGGGAUAGGCGCCGUCUUACGACAACGCGGGGGACGCCCUGGGCCGUGGGCUGGCGAUAUCCCUGUAGCAAGCGCGGAGGCGCUGUUACGAAUGUUGAACAAGGUUGAAUAUAACGAGGAGGCACCCUUGAGGGGAACACAGGAGAGUUUGUGGAUCUGUGCAGAGGCAUGGAAGGAGCAUAAUCUAGCGGUGGCGAAGGCCAACGCUCAGACGGCGCAACAGACCAAGCAGCUGCAGGAUAAGGAAAAAGAGUUAAGGCGAAUGCAGUGCAUAUUGGAUAAGACCGUUAUGUGCCUGUCGCAAUUGAUUCGUGCCGCCCGAAAUUGUUCAUCCCGUAAAGUUGAUGCGAAGCAAGUUCGCUCCUUUGUGGCCGGGAUGAGUGAAGAUUGGGAUCCCGGGGGUUGGGAUGGGGACAUAUGGGGAGAUGACCCAGACGAGAGGCUGGGACCUCUCCCCGAUCCGCCCCCGGUUCGAAGUAUUUAUCCAUCAUUAAAGCAAUUUAAGAAAAUGCAACCUGUUACACGACGACAUCAGGUGCAAGGCAUAGCAGAUAUGAGGCAGAUGGUGGACGCACAGGGGCAGCCUGUGAUAGGAGAACACGGGCGGCCUGUGAUGGAGCCUGUGCUUGAGGUGCAGGAACAGCGGUUGAUUAAGGAGGACUUUACACAAGAUGAGGUGACUCUGAUUUUGUCGAGAUAUAAACAAAGGGAAGAAGAGGCGAGUUAAGUUUGAGGAGGAGGAUGAAUAGGAUGAAGGCCAAGCCCAAGUCCUUAAGACUACCUGGUCCGCCACGGAUAUACGGCCUCAUGUAGAAUUAGAAAUUUAUUGGAAGAAAUCUGUACAAAAGGUAACAGCGUUGGUGGACACGGGCUGAGGCCUCGUUGAUUAGUGGAAAUCCGGACAAAAUUAAAGGAAAAAUCGUGCCCCUAACGGGAAUUGGGGGACAAGUAGUGUAAAAGUAUAACACUACCACCAAAAAUCGGACAAACGCCCAUUAAAAAGUAUACCGUUGUAGUCACUCCCAUAAAGGAGUGGAUAGUGGGAAUGGACAUUUUGACAGGAAUGACUUUGCAUUUAAGACACGGGAAGUUUAUGUUUGGAGAUCUUAGGAAAAUAAAGUCUGUUUUGGUGGGAAAAGUGCACAUGGCACCAUUCCCCAUACCUGAAGCGACAACGUUAAUCUCCAUGAAACAAUAUAGAAUCCGUGGGGGUCAGGAGGAGAUUACUAAAACAAUAAAAGAUAAGGAGAAAUUGGGGUAAUUUGUAGAUUAUGGGGGGAACAACCCGUGGUUGUACAAAAGGAUGACAAAAUUGCACAGUUAAUAAUUAAACCAUGCAAUAUGACCCCAGUACAGGAGAUUACU